rnacentral:lncRNA from 1 species
CCUGUAUGAUUGUUUUAUUGGCGCUAAAAAAAACUAUUGCUUUCAAAAUGAAGUGACAUAAGAGAAGCAUUUGCGCAGACGAAGCAUGACCGCAUAUGAUUGUGGCACAAAGGAAUUCAUUAUUGAUACUAUAAAAUAUCGGACAGUUAUCGUGUUCACAGUAGUCAGCACUUCGGUGUUGACAUGAAUAUCAAUUAUGUGGUCAUUUUUAUAAAUUGUCUGUUUACAAAACUUUGAAUUUUUCGAAAACCUAAGGAUUUUCUUAUCCCAGGAAUGGAU